AGCAGCUCGGUCCAGUUGGCUGCACAAAGCACACGGUCAUUCUCGAAACGGUGGACUGGCCUUAUAGCACAACGGGAAGACAAAGCACGCUCGUAAGAGGCUGCAUCACUGGGAAGAUAUUUUCACCAGGUUAGUCGCAAAAUUGAAAUUAAAAGAACGUGUACUCACAAGAUCCGUCACUUUGCAGCACAGCUUUAAAGUAAGGCCGCUACUCACAGCUAAACGGACCUAGCUGGCAAGAUUAUUAAGACCGCUCACUCGAUUCACCCAAUCCGCAUGCGAUAAUCGGCAUCUGGGGAAGCAAAUCUGUCGAAGCGGUGGAAACCACGAACACGCAGAGGAAGAUCUGAAAGACAGCAUAAUAAGCGAGACAAAGUCAAACGGAUUGAGCGUCCGUUGGGGAACACGUGCAUCAUAACGACACGACGGGGAUCGAAAAGGUCCCCGUUUUUGUACAUAGAACGAAGUCGUUCCGGUCAUUGCGUGGUGAGAGAUCCGCGACGAACGAGGUGAGUGAUACCAUCGUAAAUACAGCACGUAAACUGCUGAGCCGUGAACGGCAGAGUUGCUGGAUUGAUAUUGGGCGCUCAGACGACCACGUGUGGCAUAUCAUAGCAGGCGUGGCCAGGAUUAGAGGGCGUGCUUCUUCGUGUUGGAAACGCGGUGGACCAACGAACCGAUUUUCGUAACGGUUGAUCAAAAGACACAGGACUGCUGCAAGACAAGCGUGGCGGACGAAGGGAAGUAACGUGACGUGUGUAGUGUGGGGCCCCCGCUCAAGUGUAGUGAGUACCUAGAAUUAAGCAUGCAAUAGACAGGAGAA